rnacentral:ncRNA from 1 species
CGACCUCAGAUCAGGCGGGACUACCCGCCGGAUUUAAGCAUAUUAAUAAGCGGAGGAAAAGAAAACAACCGUGAUUCCCUUAGUAGCGGCGAGCGAACCGGGAAAAGCCCAUCGCCGAAUCUCGCCGCGCACUUUUGUGUCGCGGCACGUAUGAGAGUUGUGGCGUACGGGCCGGCCUCGUUGCCGGGGCGCACGUGACGGUCCAAGUCUCCCUUGAACGGGGCCAUGGCCCGCAGAUGGUGCCAGGCCAGUAGAGGCCGUCACAGCGUUCCGGGAUCGGACCGCGCCUUCGAGUCGGGUUGCUUGAGAGUGCAGCCCGAAGCGGGUGGUAAACUCCAUCUAAGGCUAAAUACGGCCACGAGACCGAUAGUUUACAAGUACCGUGAGGGAAAGUUGAAAAGAACUUUGAAGAGAGAGUUCAUAAGAACGUGAAACCGCUCGGUUGUAAACGGACAGAGCUCGCGAAUCCCCGCCGGGCGAAUUCACGGUCGGUCUAACCGCCGGCCGGAUCUUUCGCUCGGUUAGCGGACGUCGCGACCCGUUGGGCGCCGGCCGAAUGGCCCGGGUGACGUUCGUCGCGUCGGUCGCGUUUCGGCGUGACCGUUCGCGCCGAGCCCCGGUGCUCAUGGUCGGCUCGCCCGACGGCAAGAACCGUCGACGCGGCCCCGUCGCAGGCGGGGUCCCGUCGGUCGGCGACGUGUUUCGAGCUACUUUCCGACCCGUCUUGAAACACGGACCAAGGAGUCUAACGUGUGCGCGAGUCAACGGUGAUCUUACGAAAAACCACGUUUGGCGCAAUGAAAGUGAACCGUUUACGGUGCGGACGAUGGCCUAGCGACCGAACCCACCGGCGUUCAAAGUCGCGCUGGUCCGCAGUCCGGGGGCGUCUCCGCCAAGUCGGCUUCGGCCGGCUGGGGGCGCACCCUUAGCGCACACGUUGGUACCCGAAAGAUGGUGAACUAUGCCUGGCCAGGAUGAAGUCAGGGGAAACCCUGAUGGAGGUCCGCAGCGAUUCUGACGUGCAAAUCGAUCGUCUGAGCUGGGUAUAGGGGCGAAAGACUAAUCGAACCAUCUAGUAGCUGGUUCCAUCCGAAGUUUCCCUCAGGAUAGCUGGCGCCGAUGUGUCCCGCCCGUUCGCGGGCGUACGGACGCCGGUGGGACUCCGCGCUGUACGGCGCGGUAACAACACGCUCGUAACACGGAGGAUGUCUCAUACGGUAAAGCGAAUGAUUAGAGGACAUUGGGGCCGAAACGACCUCAACCUAUUCUCAAACUAUAAAUGAGUGAGAUCGCCGGCUUUACCUGGUACACCGCGUGAACCGCGUGCGAAGCCGGCGACGGAACCCUAGGCGCUUAGUGGGCCAUUUUUGGUAAGCAGAACUGGCGCUGCGGGAUGAACCGAACGCCGAGUUAAGGCGCCGAAAUCGACGCGUAUUCAGAGACCAUGAAAGGCGUUGGUUGCUGAUGACAGCAGGACGGUGGCCAUGGAAGUCGGAAUCCGCUAAGAGUGUGUAACAACUCACCUGCCGAAGCAACUAGCUCUGAAAAUGGAUGGCGCUGGAGCGUCGUGCCUAUACUCGGCCGUCGACGGCAUAGUGGGGCCAGUCGUCGCUCGCGGCGGCCGGUCCCGGCAAGCCUCGACGAGUAGAUGG